rnacentral:rRNA from 1 species
CGCGUAGGUGGUAGUGCAAGUCUGGGGUGGAAUCCCAGGGCUUAACCCUGGAACUGCCUUGGAAACUGUAUUACUUGAGUCAGUGAGGGGAGGGUAGAAUUCCUGGUGUAGCGGUGAGAUGCGUAGAUAUCAGGAGGAAGGCCUGUGGCGAAGGCGGCCCUCUGGCGCUGAACUGACACUGAGGCGCGAAAGCGUGGGUAGCAAACAGGAUUAGAUACCCUGGUAGUCCACGCCCUAAACGGUGGGUACUAGGUGUGGGGCUCGUAAGGGUUCUGUGCCGAAGCGAAAGCAUUAAGUACCCCGCCUGGGGAGUACGGCCGCAAGGUUGAA